rnacentral:lncRNA from 1 species
UGAAACCCCUCUCCCUAAAAUACAUUGAUUGUCACAGCAACAUUUCUUCGAGAAAAACCUGUAAGUAUUACGUAUUCACUUUUCCUUGUUUUGGAUUUUGGGCAACCAUUAAAUUCUCAAUUUUUAUUGAAGAAUGGUAGCUCGAUUGAUCUUUGUACGAGGAUUUCUUGAAUCUUAGUUACUAUAUUGGAUCUGAAUAAGAUUGAAAUAAAGGGAUUUUGAGGUUGGGUUUGUAGAUUUGGGUCUUUAUGUAAUAUUAUCUUCAUCAGCCCUAGGAUUCUUGAUUCUUCUGAUUUGGGGUUUCUCUAUUCUGCUUCAAGAUUCAAUUUUUCUGUGGAUUUAGUAUUGAAUUUGAUUAAUUACAUAUCUCCAGAACAACAAAAAAAGAUAAAUAAACAGGAGAAAUUUGUGUCUUUGUA